rnacentral:lncRNA from 1 species
AUGGCGGGGAAGGCUUUAAUCUCCUUCUCCAACUCCAAUUCCACUUUCCACCUUGAGGGAGAGAUUGAGCUCGUCAAUCAGGCAUUCCCGAUGCUUGAAGAUGGCGAACCACGCAUUCUAGAAUCCCAGGCGAUCUUGCCUCCUGUCAGGCCCGGCGAGGGGUCAAGCGGCCACCACGAUGGAUCGGCCGAACUGAUCGAACCCCGUUUUGGCCAUUCUGGUUCCCCGUUCGAUCGUGUGCUCACCUUUGCUGAGGAGGAUAAAAGGGAGCCUGUGGCUUUCCGUAUCCAUGGUGCACAAACACCCACAAGAUACGGGACGGUUCUAAUACUCACCAUCAUUCCCACUAAAAAGAUGAAGAUGGCGGCCUAUCAGGACUCCCCACCUAUCAGACGCCACAUAUCUCCACCUCUGAUCAAGAGGUUGACAGGAGAGUUCGAGAGUGAUGGAGAUAAAUAUCCACAUGAGCCUACGGUGGCUUGCUUAGCCUCCUCUAUUGCUCAGUUGCCCGCUGAGAACCGAAGGCUUAAAGACAACGUGGUAGAGGGACAUGUCGAGCUUGCCGAGCUCAAGGAUGACCUUGCUUCCCUCCUAUUGGUAUUUGGUAUGGCCACAGAUAAAUACUACUAAUGGUAUUUUA